UGUUGGGGAAAGUUACUUUUAAAAGUAAUGCACUGCAAUAUUGCAAUACUCCCUAAAAAAGUUACUAAUUAUAUUAUUUAUAUGCUUUGGAAAGA